GGGGGGGGGGGAGGGACGCGCCGGCCGGCGGACGACCUUCCACUUGAAACUUCCCUAGCCUCGUCGCCCACACCUCUCGGCCGGCGCACGCCCUCCCCGUCCGCCGCAGCCGCCGCCGCCGCCGGAGCCUGCCACGAGGGGAGGGAGCCAGCCGGAGGCCGAGCGGGGCGGAGGGAGGAGGCUGCGCCGCGGAGGCGGGGACGGGAGGAGGCGGCGGCCGCCGCGCCCGCCGCGCGCCCCGAUCCUCGCGCGCACGGUGCUCUCAGCGCCGAGGGGAACCGCCGCCCCCUCCCGCCCUGCUCGCCGCCAGGGAAGUUUCCACGCGCUGGGAGCCGGGCGGCUUCGGGGGGUGAUUUCGGGGCUUGCCCCGCUCCCUUCCUGCCCUGCCGCGCCUCCGCCCUAGACAAUCGCACUCUCCCGAAGAAGCCCCCCUGGGACUCCGAGGGCGGGGUCGUUGAACGGCUGCCAGAUUCUCAGCCUGCUAACUCUCCCCGAGCGAGCGAAAGAACCUGGAGUUCUUUUACAAGUUAGCGAGGGAGACACCUACCUACACGGCGUCGGUUUUGUAGGACGCCGGUUAAAAAAUAACCCAACUUGUAACUUUCCGGCGCUUUACCUGGCAGGAGCCCUUUCGCACCUUGCCUAAUGAAAUCGCCAGUGCUGCUCUGAAAUGAAACCCGACUCCCUAAAUCCCCGGCUUUCUCUUUUGUUCAAAGACACUUGGACCCUAGGAAGGUGAUGUCAGGGGCAGUGAAGUUACAAGAAGUAGAGAGGAGAAAGGAGUGUAACAAAAUCAGAGCGCAGGCCUAGCAUGCUAUGGUUCUAUCCCCAGCACUUUUUAUGUGCUUAAAACCAUGCUCGGAGGUAAAGUGCCAGCUUAAUACACUUAAGGUCCUUGGUUCGAUACCAAGUACAAAUGAAUACAUAAACAGUCACAUUAACCCUUUAAGACCCUAAGGUCAGACAGCAAGUUUCUUGACAGAACACUAUGAACCUACUGGGGCAUAAAUUAACUGCAAUGGAAAGUUUUGAAUAAAUGCUGCUUUUUCAACACUCCCCAAAUUACCUCAUCUUUAAAAUAGCUGUGGCAAAACCAGAGAUUUUUCUAAUUGCAGGUGUCACAUUUGAAUGUUCAACUCUCAUCCCUCACAGAGGUGACCACUAUUAAAAGAUUCUUGUCUCAGGCUGGAAUGGUACUCUGACUCAAUAGGCGUAUUCGUUAUGUGGCUGACAUUAGGCUGGCUGGUUCUCACGAGACAGCCAGGCUUGAGAAAGAACAAAGCACAGGAGAGCCAUGAAACUCUUAAAGGGAUAAAAAUAAAAAUCUCCUUAAACUCUUUAAAAAAUAAUUCAAAAGAAACUUAGACAUUUGCUAGGAGAAAAACCAGUUGUCUGGCAAAAGCAAUGACGUUAACUGUUUACUUAACCUCUUAGGGCACUAUGGGACAGAUGGAUAAACUAGCAACUAGCAUGACUUGCUCAAAGAGCUAAUAUUUAUGCUGCUAAGAACUUGUAUUUCCUUUUGUGCAGAUAUACUAUUUUUUAAAAAGCCAGCAUAUUUGUUUUAAUUUAUGUCAAGAAAUAGACUACUUCAUAAACAAACUCUAGGCCUCUGAUGAACAGGGCAGUUAUCCCAAGUCACUGGUUACCUCUCCCUGAGCUGCUCCCAUUUCAUCCAAAGAACUUUUAAGGACUGCUUUUAAAGGAAAAAGAGACAAGAUUAACAGAGCAUUCCUCCACGUUGUCAUAUGAAGUUAUGUCUUGACUUUUGAUCGUGAAAUGGGAUUGUGAAGGCCAGGAAAGCCUUUAAGACAUGCUAGGAAAACAUGAUUCACAGAAUCGAGGCAGCAACCCCAGACCACUUGGUUUCCCACAAAGAACGACUGUUCCCUCCUCAGAGGCCAGAUAUCUGUCCUCAGCCAACCACUUUCUAAAUGACCACCAGGGAAGCCAUUUGUAAGAAUUCUCAUGAGCUCAAGGCUGUUAGUGCUUUUCAACUGAAGAUUAGGUUGCAACAGAAGACUGGAAACGCCAAUGUUCUGGCCAGGAAAGGAAUCUUCUUUUUAAAAAAAUCAUCUGGCAUGAAACUUGGCUGAGGUUACCAGGGUAUAGAAUGAGGAGAUGAGAACACCGGCAGUGGAAAGACCGACAGCAAAGCCAUGGCCAUAAUCAGGAUAACAUCAGAAUGGAAUUGGAAGAGAUUUGAUUGCUCACUGCUGUCUCCUUGAAGAAUCUCAAACAGGAGUUCAUGCAUUAGGUAUAAAAUAAUGCUUUCUGAAGCUAUGUUGUUCAUCCUUCUCAUCUUUAGAAUCUUCCAAAUGCUGAAGAUAUCCCAAAGCCUUUACUUCAUCUCCAUUCAAAAUUACUUUCACUCCCCCCCCCAAAAAAAAGUAUUUCUCAACCUUGAUUGA
rnacentral:lncRNA from 1 species